rnacentral:lncRNA from 1 species
ACGGACGCAGAGGAAUCUGUGUUUGAGGAGAGGGAGGGGGCAUCUCCAUCAGUCUCUUUAUUCGGGUUCUGCCUCUGAGGCUGCUGGUGCCUCUCUGUAUCUUCCCUAGUAAUGGUGCCUCUCUGGAGACAUAAAUGAGAUGCCCCUCCCCUCUCCAGUCAGGCCUCAGAUGUCAGCCACAAAAAUGCUUCAGAUGCCUGGGGCCCACCCUGUCCCUUGUUGUGGGGAGUCUCACCUGGAGAGGCUGGCUCUAGGGCUGCUGAGAUUGAAGAGACUGUUCUGUUGGUGACUGCUUAAAAUUCACGUUGCCAUAGCAGCGUGGCAUUAGGCCUUGGUGAUCCUGCCUUACAAGGCUUUGAUCUCAGGAAAGGCAGGGUUUCUUUUGCUCUUUGGCUGGUUCUAAGGGGACACUGCCUUGGGACCAAGCUUUGCCUUUGCUCCAGGGCCCGAGGAUCAUCCCAGAAACAGAGAGCGGAGGACAGAGGAGCCGCUCAGAAGUAGCCUCCGCUCUGAGGUUCUAAUCUGAAGGAGUCAGCUCGAAACCCUUGAGGGCAAGCGAUCAGGGUUGAAGGAAGAAGGGUCAGACAGCUCUGUAAUGAGGGGAUGUGCACAUACAGACUGACGAGAGGCAAGCUCAGAUGAGGAGUCUGUGUGGGUUGUGAGGAGCAGAGCUGAAGAAGAGAGAGGUUUAUAAAUACCUGUGGGUUAGCUCAGCAAGUCUCAGCGUCACUAAUCAUCCAACCCUGGUGGAGAGAUGGCUCGGUUAUAAAGUUUAGAGUCCUAGCACCAAGGUAAAAAGCUGGAUGUGGUAGCAUCCGUAAUGCAGACUCUGGGGAGGCAGAGACACCAGUGUCAGCCUCUGGUCUCUACAUGAAUGAACAAGUGCACACAUGAGUACAGAAGUCACACACAGGUACAUAGGCAUACACACACUGACAUACAUGCACGUAUACAUACAGACACACACAUAGACACACACAUAUAGACACACACAUGCACACACAGAGACAUGCACACAGACAGACACAAACACAGAAGACAGACAGACAGAUACAGAAACACACACACACACACACACACUGAUACACAUACACAAAGACACAUACACACAUGCACACACCAACACACAUGCAUACACACAAAGACAUGCUGAAAAGACACACUGACAUGCAUAUAUACAGACACAGACACUGACACAUGCACAUGUACAGACAUACACAGACACAUACAGAGAAGCACAGAGAGACAGACAGACAAACACACUGAUUUAUUCAUCCAUCCCAUACUCAUUAGUUAAGGACACACUGUGUGAUCAGUAGUGGGGGGGGGGGGUGCAAACUGGCUCUCAUGAUUCUGACCCUAACCCUCAAGGACUUUUCCAUAGCCUGGAGAACUAAAGUGUAUCCUAGAAUGAUACAAUACAGAGUAGGAUCAUUUGCUGGGAAAUAUAGCAACUCAGAGUGGGGAACAACACCCUGGUGAGGCUGGAGUCUUUACAGGCAAAGUUGGGUUGACAUAUCAAUUACAUUGAGAAGAGAGGGAGGCCCUCUGCUUAUUCAGAACCAUUUGGACUGGACUGGACAGGUCACGAGGAGCCACAGAGGGCUUUGAGCCACACAAUGGCUGGUUGGAGCUGUACUUUGGAAGAAUGAAGCAAGAGCAGAUUGAGGGAGGGACUGAGAAGCAAAGAGACAGUUAGCUCAAAACCGCCAUAGAACCAAAGAUGGAAGGGACCAGGUGCCGAGACAACCCUAGAGAGGAAGAUGCAGGUGAACAGGGUGAGGAGCAUGGCAAGAAGGCGGCUUGCUUUCAGAUUCCAGAAUACUAAGUACCGACUUGAAGGGAAGUUAACAUCAGAAGGGACCUGGGAAAGGGAGAGGAGGGGCAACUAUUAUGAGUUUGGUUAAGUGGCCUGGAAAGAUAUCUGCUAGAAGACCCAUUUAAGGAAAAGACAUUCUGGACCCAAGGAGAGGAGAGCCAUUGGGAACACUCUUAAGGGAAAGCCAUGCUCGCUGACCUGCAGGGUUGCUGCCCUGUCUCCAGCUACCAUGCUGAGACUGGAUUGUGAAGGUGAAGUGGAAGUGGGGAUCAAGCCAAGAGGCUGCCAGAUGCCAGAGUGAGAGAUGACGACGAUGAUGGUGGUGAUGAUGGUGAUGUGACAGACAGGAGGGUUAUGGGGGACUGAACUCAAGUCUUCAUGCUGGUGUAGAAGACAGAUGACCGGCUGAGCUCUUUGCGCUGAUGUGGAAUCCCUUGAGACUGAGAGGAAAAGAGAAGAUGGGCCAUCAAGAAAACUACCAGGAAGUUUUGAGAAGCAAAAUGAGAUCAUUGCCUACAGGGCUGUGGAGCAGGAGAGGUUUCAAGGUGGGGGGGAAAAAGUAGCUUGCUUGAAUUUGGUGGGAAAGAUCCAAUAGUUGAAUGUGAGAUGAAGCUAGAGAAGGAGAAAAAAGAGGGUGGGUAACCAUGACCCUUGCUGUGUGAAAGGGAAUGAGACCUUCUGCAGAAAGGGGGACGGGCUUCUGUCGGAGCACGGAGAGAUUGCCUUCAGGAAGAAGGGAGGGGGCAGAGCUCACAGGCAUCUCUGCAGAGAGCCAUGUGAUACUGGAGCAGAAUCCUGGGAGAGCUCUCUUCUGGUGGCUUCUGUUUCCUCAGAGGGGAGACGUGAAGAAAGGAUGGCUGAUGGUAUGAGAAGAGAGGAUAUGUAGGCGAGUCUUGGAGGAAAGGAGGAGUCAGAGUGAACAUGAUCAAGAUGUAGAACUCUCAUCUGCCUGGAUGCUGCCAUGCUUUCCAGCCAUGAUGAUAAUGGACUAAACCUCUGAAACUGUAAGCCAGCCCCAAUUAAAUAUUGUUCUUUCUGAGAGUUGCCUUGGUCAUGGCGUCUUUUUAUAGCAGUGGAAAUCCU